rnacentral:rRNA from 1 species
CUUCGGGUAGUGGAAAGUGGCAGACGGGUGAGUAACGCGUGGGAAUAUACCUAGAGGUACGGGACAACGCCGGGAAACUGGUGCUAAUACCGUAUGUGCCCUUCGGGGGAAAGAUUUAUCGCCUUUAGAUUAGCCCGCGUUAGAUUAGCUUGUUGGUGAGGUAAAAGCUCACCAAGGCGACGAUCUAUAGCUGGUCUGAGAGGAUGAUCAGCCACACUGGGACUGAGACACGGCCCAGACUCCUACGGGAGGCAGCAGUGGGGAAUCUUGCACAAUGGGCGAAAGCCUGAUGCAGCCAUGCCGCGUGAGUGAUGAAGGCCCUAGGGUUGUAAAACUCUUUCAGUGGGGAAGAUAAUGACGGUACCCACAGAAGAAGCUCCGGCUAACUCCGUGCCAGCAGCCGCGGUAAUACGGAGGGAGCUAGCGUUGUUCGGAAUUACUGGGCGUAAAGCGCACGUAGGCGGAUUGAUCAGUCAGAGGU